AAAAUAACAGAUGAGGAGCUUGUAGCUUUAAAAGACUCUCAUGUAUUUAAUGAGUGGUUAUCAUUAUUCAUGCAUUAGUGAUAUUAUUAAGUUGAUCCUCAGAUGAAGAAAGCUGGAUUACUAAGACACACACAAAUUAACAGCAGAAGCAUUGUGGAGAAAAGACAGUGUUUUGAUGCACAUAUGGAUUCUCCUAUACCUGGUCUACAGUAUGUGAUGGGUACUGAUACUGAUCCUGAACUAUAUGAUACAAUAGUAAUGGCUAAUCUUGGUUAUUUCCAGCUAAAGGGUAAGCCAGGAGCAUGGAAGCUGAGACUAAGAGAAGGAAGAUCAUCAGAAGUAUAUCAAAUAUCAAGUUACUAUCAGUCCAGAGUUGGUUCAGGUGGUAAUGUAUCCUCAAUACCAGUUAAUGUAUCCAGUUUUACCGGUAAUCACUUAAUAGUACGAGUGACAAAGAAGCCAGGGAUGGAAAAGGCCAGUCUCCUACUGAGCAAGACUGAGAACCAACAAGCCACACCUACUGGCUCCACCCCUUAACAAAAUGGUGGAAUAAUUGACUCAAUCUCAAAGUUCUUUGUACCUGAUGAUGCUCCAAUCAUUACUGGGUCUAAUGAUACAGUCCCUACCACUGAUACUAUUAAUAUAUUCUCAAUAGCUUCUGGACACCUUUAUGAAAGAUUCCUAAGGAUUAUGAUGCUAAGCGUUCUGAAACACACUAAAAAUCCAGUCAAGUUUUGGUUCCUAAAAAAUUAUUUUUCACCACAAUUCAAAGAUUUCAUUCCCAGGAUGGCUGAGAGGUAUGGGUUUGAGUAUCAGCUGGUACAGUACAAGUGGCCAUGCUGGCUUCAUGGACAAACUGAAAAACAAAGAUUAACCUGGGCGUACAAAAUAUUAUUUCUAGAUGUACUUUUUCCAUUAAAUAUUAAGAAAAUAAUUUUUGUCGAUGCUGACCAAGUAUACAAUGUAGUUAUAAAAGUUAUUAUUAAUUAUAAUUACUUAUUAACAGUUACUUAUAAUUAUUAAUGGUUAUUAAUAGGUGGUUCGUACUGAUAUGAAGGAAUUGUUGGAGGAGCCAUUGGAUGGAGCACCUUAUGGAUACACUCCUUUCUGUGAUAGUCGUACUGAUAUGGAUGGAUUCAGGUAAUUAAUGAUAUGUAGUAU